AGAUUUAAAAAUCUAUCACACAA
rnacentral:snRNA from 1 species